GGAGUGAUGUCCGAGUGGUUUAAGGAGCCGGUCUUGAAAACCGGUGACCCGAAGGGGCCGUGGGUUCGAAUCCCACUCUCUCCGCCA
rnacentral:tRNA from 1 species